rnacentral:RNase_P_RNA from 1 species
GGAGUAAAUUGAAUAAUCGCGUCAAUGACGAGGAAAGUCCGUGCACCACAGAGUAAGGAUGCUAGAUAACGUCUAGUAAGGGUGACCUUCAGGCAAGUGCAAAAGAAAGUAUACCGCCAAAAUUUUUGGUAAGGGUGGAACGGUGA